GAUUCUCUGCCCUGCAUGUGUGGACGUAAACGCCCACGCCGAAUAAUGCUUCAUCGGGAUUGUUUCAGGGUUGCGGUGUGCAAGCCCACAGCAGCGAGUGGGAAGUCUAAAGCAACAACAAACGGUCCCACCUCAUAGUAAUCGCUGUGAGGCUAAACCAACCCACGGCAGGCGCGGAGAGCAA
rnacentral:other from 1 species